AAUGAACGUUGGCGGCAUGGAUUAGGCAUGCAAGUCGUGCGGCAGCAGGCCCUUCGGGGUGCUGGCGAGCGGCGUAAGGGAGAGUAACGGGUAGAUACGUGCCCUUGGGACCAGGAUAGCGUCGGGAAACUGGCGGUAAUACUGGAUAAUAUCUCUGGAUCAAAUGGUGUGAUUCCGCCCAAGGAUCGGUCUGCUUCCUUUUAGUUUGUUGGUGAGGUAAUGGCUCACCAAGGCUGAUAUGGGUACCGGGUGUGAGAGCAUGACCCGGCUCACUGGGACUGAGACACUGCCCAGACACCUACGGGUGGCUGCAGUCGAGAAUCUUCGGCAAUGGGCGAAAGCCUGACCGAGCGAUGCCGCGUGCGGGAUGAAGGCCUUCGGGUUGUAAACCGCUGUCAGUUGGGAGGAAAUGUUAGGGGGUUAUCCCUCUAAUUUGACCGAUCUUCAGAGGAAGUACGGGCUAAGUUCG
rnacentral:rRNA from 1 species